AUAACAAAUACCCUUCAAUAAUGUAAAAUUUUUUCUUUUUCUAUCAAGUUUUAAUUUCUUUUCUAAUCAAUUUAAACAUUUUUAGUUCAUAAUGAAUUGUAUCAAUAACAAUAUCAGACAUGUAAUUUUGGCUCCUUGCAGCACAAAGGUUGCUCGUUACUGUCUAUACAAUAUAAUAAAAUCUCAAGUAAUACCCAAGAGAAAGACUACUAUAUACUUUGUGUAUGUGUGUGUGGGUGUGUAUAUUAUGUAUCUAGUUAUGUACAUAUGUACAUAUAUACAUAUCUAUCUAUUUACAAACGUAUGUUUAAAGGGGAUCUUUCAAGUUUCCAACUCUGUGGUUGUGGAAAGACUGAUAUCAUAGGAUAUUGGACCAAAAGUAAAUAAGAUAAGGUGUAUUUAGAUACAUCAGCUUAUAAAGAAACAUAUAAACAUUGUAAUAAGAUUUGCUUUGUAUACGCCCGCUAGUAAAUGCUAUAAACAUUCUC